GGCCCUGUGGUGAAAUUCAUGUUGAGUUGCAAGCUCAUUGAUGUACGUUAAGAGCGUACCAGGGUCU
rnacentral:tRNA from 1 species